rnacentral:rRNA from 1 species
AGAUAUUAGAAAGAAUACCAAUUGCGAAGGCAGCUUUCUGGAUCAUUACUGACACUGAGGAACGAAAGCAUGGGUAGCGAAGAGGAUUAGAUACCCUCGUAGUCCAUGCCGUAAACGAUGUGUGUUAGACGUUGGAAAUUUAUUUUCAGUGUCGCAGGGAAACCGAUAAACACACCGCCUGGGGAGUACGACCGCAAGGUUAAAACUCAAAUGAAUUGACGGGGACCCGCACAAGUAGUGGAGCAUGUGGUUUAAUUCGAAGAUACGCGCAGAACCUUACCAACACUUGACAUGUUCGUCGCGACUCUAAGAGAUUAGAGUUUUCGGUUCGGCCGGACGAAACACAGGUGCUGCAUGGCUGUCGUCAGCUCGUGUCGUGAGAUGUUGGGUUAAGUCCCGCAACGAGCGCAACCCUCACUUUUAGUUGCCAUCAUUAAGUUGGGCACUCUGAAAGAACUGCCAGUGAUAAGCUGGAGGAAGGUGGGGAUGACGUCAAGUCCUCAUGGCCCUUACGUGUUGGGCUACACACGUGCUACAAUGGCAUCUACAACAGGAAGCAAAACGGCAACGUUAAGCAAAUCCCGAAAAGAUGCCUCAGUUCGGAUUGCACUCUGCAACUCGAGUGCAUGAAGCUGGAAUUACUAGUAAUCGUGGAUCAGCGUGCCACGGUGAAUGCGUUCCCGGGUCUUGUACACACCGCCCGUCACACCAUGGGAGUUGGUUCUACCUUAAGGCAAGGUUUUAAACCCUUGACCACGGUAUAGUCAGCGACUGGGGUGAAGUCGUAACAAGGUAGCCGUA